CGGCACGGGUGAGUAACACGUAUCCAACCUGCCGUCUACUCUUGGACAGCCUUCUGAAAGGAAGAUUAAUACAAGAUGGCAUCAUGAGUCCGCAUGUUCACAUGAUUAAAGGUGUUCCGGUAGACGAUGGGGAUGCGUUCCAUUAGAUAGUAGGCGGGGUAACGGCCCACCUAGUCUUCGAUGGAUAGGGGUUCUGAGAGGAAGGUCCCCCACAUUGGAACUGAGACACGGUCCAA
rnacentral:rRNA from 1 species